AGUGAACGCUGGCGGUAUGCCUAACACAUGCAAGUCGAACGGCAGCACAGUAAGAGCUUGCUCUUACGGGUGGCGAGUGGCGGACGGGUGAGGAAUACAUCGGAAUCUACUUUUUCGUGGGGGAUAACGUAGGGACACUUACGCUAAUACCGCAUACGACCUACGGGUGAAAGCAGGGGAUCUUCGGACCUUGCGCGAUUGAAUGAGCCGAUGCCGGAUUAGCUAGUUGGCUGGGUAAAGGCCCACCAAGGCGACGAUGCGUAGCUGGUCUGAGAGGAUGAUCAGCCACACUGGAACUGAGACACGGUCCAGACUCCUACGGGAGGCAGCAGUGGGGAAUAUUGGACAAUGGGCGCAAGCCUGAUCCAGCCAUACCGCGUGAGUGAAGAAGGCCUUCGGGUUGUAAAGCCCUUUUGUUAGGGAAGAAAAGAAGCAGGUUAAUACCCCGCUGUUCUGACGGUACCUAAAGAAUAAGCACCGGCUAACUUCGUG
rnacentral:rRNA from 1 species